CAAAGUUAUAGGGUCAAGUGACUAAGUGCAUGUGGUGGAUGCCUUGGC
rnacentral:rRNA from 1 species